rnacentral:rRNA from 1 species
GACGAACGCUGGCGGCGUGCCUAAUACAUGCAAGUUGAGCGCUGAAGGUUGGUACUUGUCCCAACUGGAUGAGCAGCGAACGGGUGAGUAACGCGUGGGGAAUCUGCCUUUGAGCGGGGGACAACAUUUGGAAACGAAUGCUAAUACCGCAUAAAAACUUUAAACACAAGUUUUAAGUUUGAAAGAUGCAAUUGCAUCACUCAAAGAUGAUCCCGCGUUGUAUUAGCUAGUUGGUGAGGUAAAGGCUCACCAAGGCGAUGAUACAUAGCCGACCUGAGAGGGGGAUCGGCCACAUUGGGACUGAGACACGGCCCAAACUCCUACGGGAGGCAGCAGUAGGGAAUCUUCGGCAAUGGACGAAAGUCUGACCGAGCAACGCCGCGUGAGUGAAGAAGGUUUUCGGAUCGUAAAACUCUGUUGGUAGAGAAGAAAGUUGGUGAGAGUGGAAAGCUCAUCAAGUGACGGUAACUACCCAGAAAGGGACGGCUAACUACGUG